AACGAACGCUGGCGGCAGGCCUAACACAUGCAAGUCGAGCGAGGACUUCGGUUCUAGCGGCGGACGGGUGAGUAACGCGUGGGAAUGUGCCCUUCUCUACGGAAUAGCCCUGGGAAACUGGGAGUAAUACCGGAUACGCCCUCUUGGGGAAAGAUUUAUCGGAGAAGGAUCAGCCCGCGUUGGAUUAGGUAGUUGGUGGGGUAAUGGCCUACCAAGCCGACGAUCCAUAGCUGGUUUGAGAGGAUGAUCAGCCACACUGGGACUGAGACACGGCCCAGACUCCUACGGGAGGCAGCAGUGGGGAAUCUUAGACAAUGGGGGCAACCCUGAUCUAACCAUGCCGCGUGAGUGAUGAAGGCCUUAGGGUUGUAAAGCUCUUUCAGCUGGGAAGAUAAUGACGGUACCAGCAGAAGAAGCCCCGGCUAACUCCGUG
rnacentral:rRNA from 1 species